UGGAUGAAAAUAAAAACAUUUGCAUCAAAAUCGCAGACCAGUGUCGCAGUGGAAGUUUCGCCAAAAAGCUAAUGCCGAAGAUCGGCAAAAAUUACAAGUAAAAAGAGAAAUAAGCCAAUCAGAGAAAUAAGCAAAAGCCAUGAAACCAAGCAGUCCACCAUCACGGGGUUUGCCACUGCAACGGAGAAAGUUCAACGCGAAUUCUGCGGUGCAAUAUCCUCCACAUCUCUGUACCCAAAUAGGUGCACUUCAUGACCAGCAGGUUCUCCGCUAUAUGGAAUUCACCCAGAUAAUGCCUCUGCAAAACAAACAUCCCCUGUCGGCUUGGACAUUUUGCUACGGGCACACAAUGUCCCUUCCUGUUUACAAGCAGCGGACCGCUUAUCAGCACCCGGUCACCCAAAGUCCCUAGUAAAGCUAAACAGAGCAUGUUGUUGCACCAGCGCAGGGUGAGUCGUUUGAGCCUCCGGGCAAUUCAGCCUCUGAGAGCCUCCGAACCAUUGAAUUAAGGAAGACAGAGCACCUUACCAACCAUUUCGUCAUCAGGCGUGGAACGAGUUUCUAUGAAAAAAUCGAGAUUUGGGGCUGAGACACAUGCACAACGAGAGAACCCGUUUCGUCGCACAGCAAGCGAGAAUGUCCGGCAGCAUUUCUACAGCACCGUUAUUCCUGACACUAAACGCGACACCUUCUGUUCGUGGUAUAAUACCAUGAAUGCGAUCAUACAUGUAAAAUAUGAUAGGACCUGAGAUAUAGGACCAAAGGUCCGAUGAAAAUAUACUUAUAACUGUU